CGAAGGGUGCAAGCGUUACUCGGAAUUACUGGGCGUAAAGCGUGCGUAGGUGGUGAGUUAAGUCUGUCGUGAAAGCCCCGGGCUCAACCUGGGAAUGGCGAUGGAUACUGGCUCGCUAGAGUGCGGUAGAGGAGAGUGGAAUUCCCGGUGUAGCAGUGAAAUGCGUAGAGAUCGGGAGGAACAUCAGUUGCGAAGGCGGCUCUCUGGACCAGCACUGACACUGAGGCACGAAAGCGUGGGGAGCAAAUAGGAUUAGAUACCCUGGUAGUCCACGCCCUAAACGAUGCGAACUGGACGUUGGGAGCAACUAGGCUCUCAGUGUCGAAGCUAACGCGUUAAGUUCGCCGCCUGGGGAGUACGGUCGCAAGACUG
rnacentral:rRNA from 1 species